rnacentral:rRNA from 1 species
CGGCGAGCGGCGGACGGGUGAGUAAAGUCUGGGAAACUGCCUGAUGGAGGGGAUAACCACUGGAAACGGUGGCUAAUACCGCAUAAUGUUGCGAGACCAAAGAGGGGGACUUUCGGGCCUCUCGCCAUCAGAUGUGCCCCAGAUGGGAUUAGCCAGUUGGUGAGGUAAUGGCUCACCAAAGCGACGAUCCCUAGCUGGUCUGAGAGGAUGACCAGCCACACUGGAACUGAGACACGGUCCAG